CCUACGGGGGGCAGCAGUGGGGAAUAUUGGGCAAUGGGCGCAAGCCUGACCCAGCAACGCCGCGUGAAGGAAGAAGGCUUUCGGGUUGUAAACUUCUUUUAGCAGGGACGAAGCAAGUGACGGUACAUGAGGAAUAAGCCACGGCUCACUACGGGCCAGCAGCCGCGGUAAUACGUAGGUGGCAAGCGUUAUCCGGAUUUACUGGGUGUAAAGGGCGUGUAGGCGGGACUGCAAGUCAGAUGUGAAAACCACGGGCUCAACCUGUGGCCUGCAUUUGAAACGGUAGUUCUUGCGUACUGGAGAGGCAGCCGGAAUUCCUAUUGUAGCGGUGAAAUGCGUCGAUAUUAGGCGGAACACCAGUGGCGAAGGCGGUCUGCUGGACAGCAACUGACGCUGAGGCGCGAAAGCGUGGGGAGCAAACAGGAUUAGAUACCCGGGUAGUC
rnacentral:rRNA from 1 species